GACAUUUCCCCCAGUUGCUCAAUUUGAAACUGUGAGAAUGCUCCUAGCAUUGGCAGUACAACUUAGAUGAAAGGUGUACCAAUUUGAUGUAAAAUCAGCAUUUCUCAAUGGUGAACUUGAAGAAGAAGUCUAUGUCCACAACCUGAAGGUUUGUGAUUAAUGGGCAAGAAGGAAAAGUGUAUAAGUUAAGGAAAGCUCUCUAUA
rnacentral:misc_RNA from 1 species